rnacentral:rRNA from 1 species
GGACAUGACCUUAGUACGAGAGGACCGGGUCGUAUAUACCGCUGGUGUAUCUGUUGUGCCGCCAGGUGCAGUGCAGAGUAGCUAUGUAUAGCCAGGAUAAGCGCUGAAAGCAUCUAAGCGCGAAACCUUCCACAAGAUGAGUUUACUUUUAAGGGUCGUCAAAGACGAUGACGUUGAUAGGCUGCAGAUGUAAAGGUGGUAACAUCAAAGUCGAGCAGUACUAAUUACCCGUAAGCUUUAACUUU